UAGCAGUGAAACACUGGUUCCCAUACAAUCAUUGAAGUUAAGCAACAUCAAGCCUAAUCAGUACAUAAAUGGGUGACUGCUGGGGAAUACCAAGUGCUGUAAG